AAAAAAAACAAAAAAAAAGCAUCCGCACUCGGUCUCUUUUGGGAUGCUGUGCUGCUUUUUUAUUUUAUUUUAUUUUUUUGUGGUGCGGUUUU
rnacentral:ribozyme from 11 species